AACAAAAGACUAUACACAUUAGGCUGGCCUCCAGUGUUAUUUGGGCUAAUUACCACCUCAUUGUUUUGCCAAACAAACCAUGUCAGUUUUCACAGGACUUUGGUGAUCUGGUAGUCUAACCAUAAAGAAAGUGACUUGUCUGAAAUCCUACACCUAUUAAUGGCUUAAUUAGGACUAGAGCACAUAGUCUCCUGUGUCUCAGUCCUGUGCUCUUUGCCCCCCCCCCCCCAUGUCCCUUAUUCAGCAGCAGCUGUUGAAACGUUUUGUGAGGGUGGCAUGGAAGAGGUGCAGAAGACAGUCCCAAAAUGAUGCAUUUUUUAUUGGAUUCCUACUUCCCAUUGUUUUGGGAUGGGUCACCAUUUGUCAGAGGCCACAAUAUUUGACCUUUACAUUUCUUUGAACUCACUCUGUCUUGGUCAAGUAGUCCUGUAUAAUAAA